rnacentral:lncRNA from 1 species
CGCAUUUCCCCUGCUUGCACUCAAUCCAUCCUGCUACCCCAUGAAGAAGGUGCCUGCUUCUCCUUUGCCUUCUACCACGAUUAUGCACCCAGAGCAACAGGCAGAUACUACACUGCACUAUGGGCUUCCCUCAUGGCCAUGACUCUUUCACUAUGUCCUGGCAGGCAUUGCCACCUGGGGUAUCGUUGUCAUGGCAGACCCCAAAGGGAAGGCCUACCGCGUUGUUUGAAAGUACCACCAGUGAAUCUGUCUUCUGUCUCUGUCCCUUUCCCCGUGACACACACAGCAGGCAUGGAAUUUAAUGGGUGUUCUGGACAGACACUUGUACAUGGACAGACAUCACUACUGUGGAUACUACAAGACUGAGAAGAAAAUCGUAUGUUGUCAUUCUCUGGCUAUGGAGUGUUUGUGGCCUUCACAGAUUUCACAGGAACCAAUAAAUCCCUCAGAGAAGUAAA